AUGUUAAGAUUAGCCAUGCAUGUCUCAGUAUAAGCUUCUAUACGGCGAAACUGCGAAUGGCUCAUUAAAACAGUUAUAGUUUAUUUGGUGGUCAACAAUUACAUGGAUAACCGUGGUAAUUCUAGAGCUAAUACAUGCGCCCAAACCCAACUUCUUGGAAGGGUUGUGUUUAUUAGAUACAGAACCAACCCAGGCUCCGCCUGGCCUUGAGGUGAUUCAUAAUAACCGAACGAAUCGCAUGGCUUUGCCGGCGAUAGACCAUUCAAGUUUCUGACCUAUCAGCUAUCGUCGGUAGGGUAUUGGCCUACCGUGGCAAUGACGGGUAACGGAGAAUUAGGGUUCGAUUCCGGAGAGGGAGCCUGAGAAACGGCUACCACAUCUAAGGAAGGCAGCAGGCGCGCAAAUUACCCAAUCCUGACGCAGGGAGGUAGUGACAAGAAAUAACAAUACAGGGCAUCCAUGUCUUGUAAUUGGAAUGAGUAAACUUUAAAUCACUUUAC
rnacentral:rRNA from 1 species